rnacentral:lncRNA from 1 species
CUUUUUCUUGUUCAUUCAUUGUACUUAGCUAGUUUUAGCCUAGGUAUGAUAUUCAUCGACUGCAGUUCUUGGAAUAAGAGUUUACAGGCAUAAGGUAUCCGCAGAGAAGACACAUGACAUGAUGAUUUGCAGUAAUGGCACCAGCCAGAGUAUCCCAGCAAGCCACACUGCCCACAAACAUCCACUUCAAAGGCAUCACUUGAAAUCAUCAGUCUCUCCAGUAACAGCAUGCUGGCUCCAUAACCUAUCAGACAAUCCCGUUCCAUCUCUCCAAGACGUAAAC